rnacentral:rRNA from 1 species
UACGGAGGGUGCAAGCGUUAUUCGGAAUUAUUGGGCGUAAAGGGAGCGUAGGCGGUCUUUUAAGUCAGAUGUGAAAGCCCGGGGCUUAACCCCGGAAGUGCAUUUGAAACUAAGGGACUUGAGUAUGGGAGAGGGAAGUGGAAUUCCUGGUGUAGAGGUGAAAUUCGUAGAUAUCAGGAGGAACACCGGUGGCGAAGGUGACUUCCUGGACCAAUACUGACGCUGAGGCGCGAAGGCGUGGGGAGCAAACAGG